GUGCUUGCUUCAGCAGCACAUGUACUAAAAUUGAAAUGAUACAGAGACGAUUAGCAUGGCCCCUGAGCAAGGAUGACAUGCAAAUAAAAAUUUAA
rnacentral:snRNA from 1 species